GAACCCUUGGAUUCGUCUGAGGGGGAGAGUGGCGGACGGGUGAGUAACACGUAGGUGACCUGCCCCAAAGCGGGGAAUAACUACUGGAAACGGUGGCUAAUACCCCAUGUGCUCGAUGGUUCAGUCUGUCGAGUAAAGCUCCGGCGCUUUGGGAGGGGCCUGCGGCCCAUCAGGUAGUUGGUGGGGUAAUGGCCUACCAAGCCAAUGACGGGUAGGGGGCGUGAGAGCGUGAUCCCCCACACUGGCACUGAGACACGGGCCAGACUCCUACGGGAGGCAGCAGUGAGGAAUAUUGCCCAAUGGACGAAAGUCUGAGGCAGCAACGCCGCGUGAGCGAUGAAGGCCUUCGGGUUGUAUAGCUCUUUUCUGGGGGACGAGGAAGGACGGUACCUCAGGAAUAAGUCACGGCUAACUACGUGCCAGCAGCCGCGGUAAUACGUAGGUGGCGAGCGUUAUCCGGAUUUACUGGGCGUAAAGCGCGUGUAGGCGGUUUCGUAAGUCGGAUGUGAAAGCUCCUGGCUCAACUGGGAGAGGCCAUUCGAUACUGCGGGACUUGAGGUCGGGAGAGGGACGUGGAAUUCCCGGUGUAGUGGUGGAAUGCGUAGAUAUCGGGAGGAACACCAGUGGCGAAGGCGGCGUCCUGGCCCGCACCUGACGCUAAGACGCGAAAGCGUGGGUAGCGAACGGGAUUAGAUACCCCGGUAGUCCACGCCGUAAACGGUGGAUACUAAGGUGUUGGGGGGGGGAGACUUCCUUAGUACCGCAGCUAACGCGUGAAGUUGACCGCCUGGGGAGUACGGU
rnacentral:rRNA from 1 species